rnacentral:rRNA from 1 species
GAUGAACGCUGGCGGCGUGCCUAAUACAUGCAAGUCGAGCGAACGGACGAGAAGCUUGCUUCUCUGAUGUUAGCGGCGGACGGGUGAGUAACACGUGGAUAACCUACCUAUAAGACUGGGAUAACUUCGGGAAACCGGAGCUAAUACCGGAUAAUAUUUUGAACCGCAUGGUUCAAAAGUGAAAGACGGUCUUGCUGUCACUUAUAGAUGGAUCCGCGCUGCAUUAGCUAGUUGGUAAGGUAACGGCUUACCAAGGCAACGAUGCAUAGCCGACCUGAGAGGGUGAUCGGCCACACUGGAACUGAGACACGGUCCAGACUCCUACGGGAGGCAGCAGUAGGGAAUCUUCCGCAAUGGGCGAAAGCCUGACGGAGCAACGCCGCGUGAGUGAUGAGGGUCUUCGGAUCGUAAAACUCUGUUAUUAGGGAAGAACAUAUGUGUGAGUAACUGUGCACAUCUUGACGGUACCUAAUCAGAAAGCCACGGCUAACUACGUG